AGCGGCGGAUGGGGGAGUAACACGUGGGGAACCUGCCCCUAAGUCUGGGAUACCAUUUGGAAACAGGUGCUAAUACCGGAUAAUAAAGCAGAUCGCAUGAUCAGCUUUUGAAAGGCGGCGUAAGCUGUCGCUAAGGGAUGGCCCCGCGGUGCAUUAGCUAGUUGGUAAGGUAACGGCUUACCAAGGCGACGAUGCAUAGCCGAGUUGAGAGACUGAUCGGCCACAUUGGGACUGAGUCACGGCCCAAACUCCUACGGGAGGCAGCAGUAGGGAAUCUUCCACAAUGGACGCAAGUCUGAUGGAGCAACGCCGCGUGAGUGAAGAAGGUUUUCGGAUCGUAAAGCUCUGUUGUUGGUGAAGAAGGAUAGAGGAAGUAACUGGCCUUUAUUUGACGGUAAUCAACCAGAAAGUCACGGCUAACUACGUGCCAGCAGCCGCGGUAAUACGUAGGUGGCAAGCGUUGUCCGGAUUUAUUGGGCGUAAAGCGAGCGCAGGCGGAAAAAUAAGUCUAAUGUGAAAGCCUUCGGCUCAACCGGAGAAUUGCAUCAGAAACUGUUGAACUUGAGUGCAGAAGAGGAGAGUGGAACUCCAUGUGUAGCGGUGGAAUGCGUAGAUAUAUGGAAGAACACCAGUGGCGAACGCGGCUCUCUGGUCUGCAACUGACGCUGAGGCUCGAAAGCAUGGGUAGCGAACAGGAUUAGAUACCCUGGGUAGUCCAUGCCGUAAACGAUGA
rnacentral:rRNA from 1 species